CAGUCGAACGGUGAAGCCAAGCUUGCUUGGUGAAUCAGUGGCGAACGGGUGAGUAACACGUGAGCAACCUGCCCUGGACUCUGGGAUAAGCGCUGGAAACGGCGUCUAAUACUGGAUAUGAGACGUGAUCGCAUGGUCGUGUUUGGAAAGAUUUUUCGGUCUGGGAUGGGCUCGCGGCCUAUCAGCUUGUUGGUGAGGUAAUGGCUCACCAAGGCGUCGACGGGUAGCCGGCCUGAGAGGGUGACCGGCCACACUGGGACUGAGACACGGCCCAGACUCCUACGGGAGGCAGCAGUGGGGAAUAUUGCACAAUGGGCGGAAGCCUGAUGCAGCAACGCCGCGUGAGGAUGACGGCCUUCGGGUUGUAAACCUCUUUUAGCAGGGAAGAAGCGAAAGUGACGGUACCUGCAGAAAAAGCGCCGGCUAACUACGUGCCAGCAGCCGCGGUAAUACGUAGGGCGCAAGCGUUAUCCGGAAUUAUUGGGCGUAAAGAGCUCGUAGGCGGUUUGUCGCGUCUGCUGUGAAAUCCCGAGGCUCAACCUCGGGCCUGCAGUGGGUACGGGCAGACUAGAGUGCGGUAGGGGAGAUUGGAAUUCCUGGUGUAGCGGUGGAAUGCGCAGAUAUCAGGAGGAACACCGAUGGCGAAGGCAGAUCUCUGGGCCGUAACUGACGCUGAGGAGCGAAAGGGUGGGGAGCAAACAGGCUUAGAUACCCUGGUAGUCCACCCCGUAAACGUUGGGAACUAGUUGUGGGGACCAUUCCACGGUUUCCGUGACGCAGCUAACGCAUUAAGUUCCCCGCCUGGGGAGUACGGCCGCAAGGCUAAAACUCAAAGGAAUUGACGGGGACCCGCACAAGCGGCGGAGCAUGCGGAUUAAUUCGAUGCAACGCGAAGAACCUUACCAAGGCUUGACAUAUACGAGAACGGGCCAGAAAUGGUCAACUCUUUGGACACUCGUAAACAGGUGGUGCAUGGUUGUCGUCAGCUCGUGUCGUGAGAUGUUGGGUUAAGUCCCGCAACGAGCGCAACCCUCGUUCUAUGUUGCCAGCACGUAAUGGUGGGAACUCAUGGGAUACUGCCGGGGUCAACUCGGAGGAAGGUGGGGAUGACGUCAAAUCAUCAUGCCCCUUAUGUCUUGGGCUUCACGCAUGCUACAAUGGCCGGUACAAAGGGCUGCAAUACCGUGAGGUGGAGCGAAUCCCAAAAAGCCGGUCCCAGUUCGGAUUGAGGUCUGCAACUCGACCUCAUGAAGUCGGAGUCGCUAGUAAUCGCAGAUCAGCAACGCUGCGGUGAAUACGUUCCCGGGUCUUGUACACACCGCCCGUCAAGUCAUGAAAGUCGGUAACACCUGAAGCCGGUGGCCCAACCC
rnacentral:rRNA from 1 species